CCUACGGGAGGCAGCAGUGGGGAAUAUUGCACAAUGGGCGAAAGCCUGAUGCAGCGACGCCGCGUGAGGGAUGAAGGCCUUCGGGUUGUAAACCUCUUUCAGCAGGGACGAAGCGCAAGUGACGGUACCUGCAGAAGAAGCACCGGCUAACUACGUGCCAGCAGCCGCGGUAAUACGUAGGGUGCGAGCGUUGUCCGGAAUUACUGGGCGUAAAGAGUUCGUAGGCGGUUUGUCGCGUCGUUUGUGAAAACCCGGGGCUCAACUUCGGGCUUGCAGGCGAUACGGGCAGACUUGAGUGUUUCAGGGGAGACUGGAAUUCCUGGUGUAGCGGUGAAAUGCGCAGAUAUCAGGAGGAACACCGGUGGCGAAGGCGGGUCUCUGGGAAACAACUGACGCUGAGGAACGAAAGCGUGGGUAGCAAACAGGAUUAGAUACCCUGGUAGUCCACGCCGUAAACGGUGGGCGCUAGGUGUGGGUUCCUUCCACGGAAUCUGUGCCGUAGCUAACGCAUAAGCGCCCCGCC
rnacentral:rRNA from 1 species